rnacentral:lncRNA from 1 species
GGGAACUUGUGAGUGAGUGAGUGAGUUGGGUUUAACGCCGCUUUUAACAGUAUUCCAGUUAUAUCGUGUCCCAGCAGUAAACACUUCUGGUUGACUGGUGUUGAAAGAGUUAAUUGACUCAUUUAUAUCUUGGAGCUACUUUAAUCUUCCAUGGGGCUAUGUAAAACAUGUUAAACAUUUACAUACAAGGGUUAAAACAAUAAAUGACAUGAAAAAAUGUGAACAUGAAUUUAGGUUAGGAUGGAUGACUUUUUGUAAAUUAAAACCUGAGAACUGUACUGUUUCAAAGAAAAUUAUACCUCCAUAUAAAAAUUACUCAUUCAAAACUAUAUUAUAGUUUUUUUAAUUUGAAUGCUGACAUUUUUCAAAGUAGGGCCGAACAAAAUUAAUUGUGCGUUUCCUAGAUUAGGAUUUUAAGUGUGUAGGUCUACAUCAAGCUUUAUAAAAGUGAGUUUAAAUUAAAAAAAUAAUGAUAAAAAAAUUCCCUAUUCCUUAAUCCUGGGAACAUUUCAUAAAAAAUCCAAAUAUCUCCCCCCUCCCCUUUUCAGUUUUUUUAGCUUGGCGUAACAGAAUAUAAGUGUUGUCCUAGUUUGUUUAUGAAUAAAAUAUAGAUCUAUAUGUUUAUUGACAGUGCAAUACGCAUUGCUAAGGGUAACAUUUUGCUUUAUUGUAAAUUAAUGAAUGUACUUAUUGGUCUCAUUAGAAUGGUGAGAGGUGUAGGCGAUGGGAGGCAGCUGAAAAAAGGUGACCAAGACUACAUCGAACAGGAACGAAAGCGAAAAGCUGAUUAUAGGGGUCGGAUGAAUCCUGAACAAGUUGACAGGUGGAUGAUUGGCCAUGGGUGACUUUUUUCACUAAAGUGAAACAAAGAUGGCUGGCAAAGGACAUCCACCACACUGUCAUGUUCGAAGACGUCAGAAUAGCAAUUGAUUGGACAUUAUUUGAUGAGAUGACUAACGCCCUGUCCACCUUUAGAAUGGACUACGAGAUCAAGAACCAAGAGGACACCAAUAACCAGUUUCUGAAUAAACAUAAAAAGGAGUAUGGCAAAACUGAUAUUGGUCAUUGAGAUAAACAAUAUUCAAGAUACAGGAUAGCUAAUGUUUAAUUGCACAGUGGAAGACUUUCAAAGUUAAAUUAAAUUAAAUUAAUUUUUCUAAAAUGAUUUUUCAUGUGGAUACAAAAUAGCAGCAAUUGUACAGCUUUGCCUAGGAAUAAUUUAUUGUGUCGCAGUUUUUUCCUGAUUAAGUCUUGCGAUAAUACUUUGAAUUCAUCAACAAUUUGAAGUGGUUUGUAAAAUAUUCAGUACAAUGAAUAAUUGUCAAACAGUUACUGAAUAUAUAAAUUAUAAAGGGUUAUUCCUAAAUGAAUGUUUGAGAGGGCUGGGAUGUACAUUUAAAAAUAUUUAAUGAGUGGUGGGGAUAUCAAGAUUCCACAAUCUGUUAUUUUUAAUAUAC